AGAUGUUGCCAUUAUUUAUAUCUGAAAAAUAAUAAAAUAAAUUUAUAUACUGUAUUUUUAGUUUUAUUCAUCAACAUCAGAAUAUAGGUAGCCUAAGCUUUUCGGAAUGAUAAAAAAUAACAUAUUUGGUUUUGUACUUAUAUGUUGUUUACUAAACCAAAAUGUGUGUCAUGAAAACAAAGAGCAACAGAGAUCUAUAUGGAAUGCUGCAAACGAACAACGCCUCUUAUCUGAAAUCUCAGCAGACUUUUCAAGGAAUGCAGAACGUCUCGAUCCAGCAAUUUUCGGACCCUUCUCAGAUAUCAUGAAAAUGUUUCUUAAUCCUAUCUCUGGAUUCUUAUCGGGUGGUACGAAACAACGUUUUGAUCCGGCAAUCUUCGAAUCC
rnacentral:lncRNA from 1 species